GAUGAACGCUAGCGGCAGGCCUAAUACAUGCAAGUCGAACGGUGUCUUCGGACAUAGUGGCGCACGGGUGCGUAACACGUAUGCAACCUACCUUACAUUGGGGGAUAGCCUUUCGAAAGGGAGAUUAAUACCGCAUAAGACAGUAGCUGGGCAUCCAGCAGCUGUUAAAGAUUUAUCGAUGUAAGCUGGGCAUGCGUCCAAUUAGCUAGUUGGUGAGGUAACGGCUCACCAAGGCAAUGAUUGGUAGGGGAACUGAGAGGUCAAUCCCCCACACUGGCACUGAGAUACGGGCCAGACUCCUACGGGAGGAAGCAGUAGGGAAUAUUGGGCAAUGGACGCAAGUCUGACCCAGCCAUGCCGCGUGCAGGAUGAAGGCGUUAUGCGUUGUAAACUGCUUUUAUACAGGAAGAAACGACUCUUGCGAGAGGCAUUGACGGUACUGUAUGAAUAAGCACCGGCUAACUCCGUGCCAGCAGCCGCAGUAAGAC
rnacentral:rRNA from 1 species